AGAAAAAACUUUAAAAUUUAAAGAAGAAAUAAAACAUAUAUUAUGUUUCUUUCUUUUCUCUCUCUCUCUAACCUCUUCUCUUCCUCUUCCUCUUCCUCUUCCUCUUCCUUUCCUUUCUACAAAAAAUGAAUUGGAAGGGUUUUCUUCUUCUUCUGAUCUCUCAACAUUUUCUAUGGUUUCAUUGUUCUUUUUCUCUACAAAAGCUUUCCUUCAAACUCUUUUACAAUCAGAGGUAAGAGAGAAAUCGAAUUGUGACGCUCGAGUAAAUGAAUGAUAGGACGACGUUACGUUCAAAAUGAGGUGGUGAUUUGAGAUGAUUAGUUUAUAUUUGAUUGAGGACUUGAAAAUUUAAAUGUAAUAUUAAUUAAAAGAAGAUUCUAUAUACAUACAUGUGUGGUGUUGGGUAUAGAAUAAUUGAGUGAAUUUUACCCAUAAGAGAAUCUCUUCAACUUGGAAGAAAACUUACAAAGUAAUCCAAAGUAAAGCAAUUUUCUUUUCUCACAAAAA